AGUGAACGCUGGCGGCGUGCUUAAUACAUGCAAGUCGAACGAUGAAGCUUCUAGCUUGCUCGAAGUGGAUUAGUGGCGCACGGGUGAGUAAUAUAUAGUUAAUCUGCCUUGCACUGAGGAACAACAGUUGGAAACGAUUGCUAAUACCUCAUACUCCAACUUAGCAUAAGUUAAGUUGGGAAAGUCUUUUCGGUGCAAGAUGAGACUAUAUCGUAUCAGCUAGUUGGUAAGGUAAUGGCUUACCAAGGCUAUGACGCGUAACUGGUCUGAGAGGAUGAUCAGUCACAUUGGAACUGAGACACGGUCCAAACUCCUACGGGAGGCAGCAGUAAGGAAUAUUGUGCAAUGGGGGAAACCCUGACGCAGCAACGCCGCGUGGAGGAUGACACUUUUCGGAGCGUAAACUCCUUUUGUUAGGGAAGAAUAAUGACGGUACCUAACGAAUAAGCACCGGCUAACUCCGUG
rnacentral:rRNA from 1 species